rnacentral:rRNA from 1 species
GGUAGUCCACGCCGUAAACUAUGGAUGCUAGCUGUCGGGGGUAUCGACCCCCUCGGUAGCGAAGCUAACGCGUUAAGCAUCCCACCUGUGGAGUACGAGCGCAAGCUUAAAACAUAAAGGAAUUGACGGGGACCCGCACAAGCGGUGGAUCAUGUUCUUUAAUUCGAUGAUAAACGAAGAACCUUACCAGGGUUUGACAUCCUUGGAACCUUAGCGAAAGCUAGGGGGUGCUUUAUUGAGCCAAGUGACAGGUGAUGCAUGGCCGUCGUCAGCUCGUGUCGUGAGAUGUUUGGUUAAG